rnacentral:rRNA from 1 species
GCUUGUCUCAAAGAUUAAGCCAUGCAUGUCUAAGUAUAAGCCUUUGUACGGCGAAACUGCGAAUGGCUCAUUAAAACAGUUAUAGUUUAUUCGAUAAUCAAUUGCUACAUGGAUAACUGUAGUAAUUCUAGAGCUAAUACAUGCGUCAAAACCCAACUUUACGGAAGGGUCGUGUUUAUUAGAUACAAAACCAAUGCCCUUCGGGGCUCCUUGGUGAUUCAUGAUAACUAUACGAAUCGCACGGCCUUGCGCCGGCGAUGGUUCAUUCAAAUUUCUUCCCUAUCAACUUUCGAUGUUUGGGUAUUGGCCAAACAUGGUUGCAACGGGUAACGGAGGGUUAGGGCUCGACCCCGGAGAAGGAGCCUGAGAAACGGCUACUACAUCCAAGGAAGGCAGCAGG